UUCUUCUUCUUCUUUUUUUUUUUCCUUGACAUGGGUAGAGUUACUUAAUUCCUAAUUUACUGAGGAGCAUUUAUGGUUCUUCAUAUCUGUCUUGCAUUUCAAUGAUGGAAACUGUCUGUUGAUUGCACGAGUAGUGACUGAAAAUCAAGCUUGCCAUUGGUUAAUCUUUCUCCCAGUUCUUUUACUAGAUGUAUAUAUUUGAUUAAAUGAUUGAUGUACAAAUAUUGUUUGUGGAAUUCCUUUAGGAUGGAAGAGCUGAUACCUAUAUUACUUGAGUAUAUCAGAAGCCGUCAAAAACCUGGUGGCUAUGUACUGUUGGUGGCUCACAAUGCUCGUAUUUUUGAUGUACCGUUUUUGACUAAUGAAUUUAGUCGAUGUGGUGC
rnacentral:misc_RNA from 1 species